ACUUCUACUAUUUUACAUAUGGCUAUUAGGAAAACACCUCACGCACUGAGAUACAUAACAAGUCAACUCAAAAGUUUAAGAAAAAACGGCAACUUGAUUAUAAGGAUAUAGAGGCAUCACAAGAGUAUCACACGUAUAAUAAAUAUGAUGUGGCAAUCUCUAGCUGUUCACCAAACCCAUUUUCUCUUCCUUUUGGGUCCACAGGUGGAUAACAUUGUUCAGCUUCCCAUACACUUAAAUGUGGCCGUGUGACUGAGUUCCAGACAAAGCAAUGUGAAUGACAGGUGCUAGUUCAAGGCCUGGCCUAUACAACGUCCCAUGUAUUGAACUCCACGUUCAUUUCCUUUCUGCAGGCUGGAUGCUAACACCUACAGAGACAUUGGAAGUCAUGUGUUGAAAAUGGCAGAGCUUCCAUCAACCCGAGUUCCUGAGUAACUGUGUGGCACAGAGCCGUCCACUGCCACCACCUCACCAACUUAGAACCAUCUGGACCUGUUUAUGGGCAGCCAAACAUUAACAGCGUCAAGCCUCCUCCAAGUCACAGGUGACAAAGAAAGGAAAGACUUCUCUUCAAAAGGCCAUGUAAACAGGCUUGUGUGGAUAAUCCAUUGACAGAAAACACUAAGGAGCAGAAAGACUUCCCGACUCAGGCUCUAAAAAUACAAACUACACAGUAAAAACUGUUGGAUUUGA